rnacentral:lncRNA from 1 species
GCGGCGGCGACGACGGCCGAGGCGAGGAACAUCAAGACGGCGGAGAAGAAGGACGACGCGGUGGUGCAGCCGCAGACCUUCCCGCCCUUCGACCGCCUCGGCGGCGGCCUCCCCGGGGCCGGAGGCAGCAGCAUCCCGGGGUUCUCCAUGCCCGGCAGCGGCGGGCUCACCCCGGGCUUCAGCCUCCCCGGCUCCGGCAGCAUCGGCAGCAUGCCCCUCUUCGGCGGCGGCGGCUCCCCCUUCAGCGGCUUCGGAGGCAUGCCCGGCUCCCCCGCCGCCGGCGGCUCCGUCCCCGAGCACUCCAACAAACCCUGAAGAAGCUCGCCGGAG